UUCUUCCUUGUCGAGGGGAGCAUAAUGUCCAAUGAACGUUUAGUGAGGGCAUUGAUGCUGAAACCCUUAUUUAAGACACUCCCGUUCGAUUUUAUCUUAAGAUAAAAACGUUCGGAAUUUUUGGAUAG